ensembl:lncRNA
CUGGUUCAUACGCCUUUUUUCACUAUGCAUAUAGUUUUUCUUUAAUGUAAAAUUCUUUUUAAAAAAUUUCUAUGUGCUUACAAAGAAAAAGGGAAAUGUUAAUGUUUAGUAUAAACAAACAAAAAGAAUCAGCAAAAAUCUGAGCUUAUAAGUAGAUCCUAUAAACAGAGAAAAAAUUAUCAAAUAAAAAAAAAAAUCAGCAAUAAGCAUAAAAAUCGUUAAAAAAUGUAAAAGUAAUCAAAAAUCAAAUUAUUGUAUGUUUAAAUGUGCGGAAUAAUAAAUGGCCAUUUAAAAAAAAAAAAAAAAAAAAAAAAAAAAAAAAGCUCUAUUCAUCUUUACGGAAGUGUAAGUAUGAAAGCGCACCAAAACGAUAUGUACUGUACGCACACGUAUAUAUAUAUAUAUAUAUAUAUACUAAAAUGUAUAUAAAAAUGCCCAUAUUGUACAACGUCGUAUAAGUACCAUAAUUUGCACUGAAAAAAGAAUAUGGCCAGCUAAUAAAAAUGAAGAACGUACUCUAUAAAAGACUCGUAAAUAAAAACACAAAUAUAUACUAUAAUAAUGCAGUAGUUCAUUAUAUAAAAAGGAAUUUUUUUUUUUGUACAGCAUACUGCUGUUUUAGCAAUAGUAGUAAUAAUAAGUAUAAUUUUAAUAGUAGUAGCAACAACAACAGCAACAGCACUGAUAGAAAAGUAAACAUUGCAGAAUUAAAAAAACAGUUGUCAAGCGAAAAAAUAAAUUUAGACUAUUUUACAAAUAUACUUAAAAAUAUCGAAGAAAAAAAUAAGACAAAAGACGAUGAUUGGACUAUUGAAGAUUUGUUAUUAGUAUUAGUAUUAAUUAAUAAAAAUUAUAAAUAUUAUGAAAAAAUAAUAUGUUCAAAGUAUUAUGAAAAAGUAUGUUUGAUCAUAAAAAAUAAUAUAAAAUUACGAAUUCAUUAUUUACAUACUUGUAAAAUGUUAAUACAUGCAAUGCAUAUAUUAACAAAUUGUAAAUACAUAGAUGAUGUUAUAUUAGAUUGUUAUUCUAAUAAAUGUUUUUAUUUUAUAAAAAAUGAAGAAUAUGAAAUACAUGACUUUGUUCAACUUUUGUAUAUUUUUAGUAAAAUACAAAUCAUAAAAAAGGAGUUACAAUUUUCAAAAUUAAAACCAUUAAACUGGCAGAUUAUUAAAAUUAUAUGUGAUAAAUUAACGUACAAUUUUGAUGUUUUAUUUAUGUUGUAUAAAGAUAAUACUUAUACAUAUUAUGUAAAAAAAAUGAUAAAAGAAAAAAUAAAAAAUAUAACAAAUGACUUAGUUGAUAAUAAGAGUAAUAACAACCGUAACGAGGGAGGUAACACCACUACUACUACUGCUAAUACUACUACUGCCACUCCUACUAAUAGUAAACAUUUGCGUAAUAUAAAAACAGUUAACUAUGAUGCUGGAGUAAAUGAAAACAAAAAUAACCACUAUAAAAUGGAUUCUACUGAUAGUUUUGGUGAUAUAUCAAGUGAACAUUAUUACUACUUAGAUAUACUAAUAACCAUUACUAACAGUUUAAAAAAAUUUGAAUUAUAUACACAUUGC